rnacentral:lncRNA from 1 species
GGUGAGGCUGGCCGCAUGGAGCUCGAGCUCUCCGUGACCAAGCUGAGGGCAGAGGAGGCCUCCCUGCAGGACUCCCUGUCCAAGCUGAGCGCCCUCAACGAGAGCCUUGCUCAGGACAAGUUGGAUCUGAACUGCCUUGUCACCCAGCUGGAGGAAGAAAAGGCCAUGCUGCAGGGCCGGCAGCGGCAGGCGGAGCAGGAGGCCACAGUGGCGCCGGCAGAGCAGGAGUGGCUGGAGGAGCUGUGGUUGGAGCAGGAGGUGGCACGGCAGGGCCUGGAGGGCUCCCUAUGAGUGGCGGAGCAGGCCCAGGAGGCGCUGGAGCAACAGCUCCCCACACUGCACCAUGAGCUCAGUUGGCUGCAGGAGCAGCUAGCACAGGAGGCAGCAUGGCGGGAGCUGGAGGCCGAGCGGGCCCAGCUGCAGAGUCAGCUGCAGCGUGAGCAGGAGGAGCUGCUGGCCCGGCGGAAGGCUGAGAAGGAACAGCUGAGUGAGGAGAUUGCUGCCCUGCAGCAGGAGCAUGACGAGGGCCUCCUCCUGGCCGAGAGCGAGAAGCAGCAGGCCUUGUCUCUGAAGGAGUCUGAGAAGAUGGCGCUGUCAGAGAAGUUGAUGGGUACACGGCACAGCCUGGCCACCAUCUCCCUGGAGAUGGAGCGGCAGAAACCAGAUGCCCAGAGCCGGCAGGAGCAGGACCGGGUAGGCCUGCCGUCGUAGGGAGGCUUGCGGAGCAGGAGCGCCCUCUCUCCACCGAGCUAUCCCGCGGUUUCCAGCAUCCCAUCUGGCGGACUCCUCUUCCUCUCUCUUCUCCUACUCUGGGUCUUCUAUCCUGGUGUUCCUUGAAUGCCUAUCUUCCUUUUGUGCCUCGGAACCUCUCACGCCUGCCACAAGUUACUCUUUUCCUUGGUAGUUCUGAACUUUAAAUAAGGUAAUGCCUGUAAGAAUGCCAUAAAUGCUCAAUAAUUGUCAUCUGUUAUUAUUUUCAUCAGUAACAUCAUCUGAAUCAUCAGUAUUGUCUGCUUUUAACAGCUGCAUUUUUCAUUGUCCAAAUAUAGUCACAUACAUUUGACCAUUUUAUAAUUAUUGAAUAAUAAAUUUGUUCUGCUAUUUUACAAUGAAAAAUAAUGCUGCAGAGAGCAUUUUUGCACAUGUAUCGUGGCAGAUGUAGGCCAGAGGCUCUUCUUUUAUCCAUCCUAUGGCCAACCUAUGAAUGUAUACACGUUUAAUGAGAUUUUGCCAGCAAUCAAAGCCUUCAGGGAAAAUGUCCCUAGCUCUUUACUACAUCAGAUCAAGGACUCUGGAUAAUUGGCAUAACAUCCUGGAAUAGCUGAAACAGAGAUAUUAUUCUCUGCUCUCCUCUGUUGUCUUUGUCUUUUCACGUCUUAAUAAAAGUGCUGGUGACAAGAGUGU